GACGAACGCUGGCGGCGUGCUUAACACAUGCAAGUCGAACGGAAAGGCCCUGCUUUUGUGGGGUGCUCGAGUGGCGAACGGGUGAGUAACACGUGAGUAACCUGCCCUUGACUUUGGGAUAACUUCAGGAAACUGGGGCUAAUACCGGAUAGGAGCUCCUGCUGCAUGGUGGGGGUUGGAAAGUUUCGGCGGUUGGGGAUGGACUCGCGGCUUAUCAGCUUGUUGGUGGGGUAGUGGCUUACCAAGGCUUUGACGGGUAGCCGGCCUGAGAGGGUGACCGGCCACAUUGGGACUGAGAUCCGGCCAAGACUCCUACGGGAGGAGGCAGGGGGGAAUAUGCACAAUGGGCGGAAGCCUGAUGCAGCAACGCCGCGUGCGGGAUGACGGCCUUCGGGUUGUAAACCGCUUUCGCCUGUGACGAAGCGUGAGUGACGGUAAUGGGUAAAGAAGCACCGGCUAACUACGU
rnacentral:rRNA from 1 species